rnacentral:siRNA from 1 species
GGUCAUCGUUCUCGUGGUCG